AUGCCGAUUACUUUGCGAAUAUCUCGCUCUUCAAGCCGGAUAAAUUCCGUCGCUGUUUUCAUAUGGCAAGGCAUCUGUUCAAUCGUAUCCGAGAGGGAGUGGUUGCUCAUGACCAAUACUUCGAGUGCAAGACAUACGGAUGCCCUUGGCAAGAUUGGAUUCUCCUCUUACAAGAAAUGCACCGCGGCCAUCCGCAUGCUUGCAUAUGGAAUUUCAGGCGAUAUGGUCGAUGAGUAUGUGUGCAUGAGUGAGUCGACAUGUCUGCUGUCACUGUACAACUUCUACAAGGCCGUGGUGUGA
rnacentral:rRNA from 1 species